UACGUAGGGUGCGAGCGUUGUCCGGAAUUAUUGGGCGUAAAGAGCUUGUAGGCGGUUUGUCGCGUCUGCUGUGAAAUCUCAAGGCUCAACCUUGAGCUUGCAGUGGGUACGGGCAGACUAGAGUGUGGUAGGGGAGAUCGGAAUUCCUGGUGUAGCGGUGGAAUGCGCAGAUAUCAGGAGGAACACCGGUGGCGAAGGCGGAUCUCUGGGCCAAUGAACUGACGCUGGAGGAGCGAAAGCAUGGGGAGCGAACAGGA
rnacentral:rRNA from 1 species